rnacentral:rRNA from 1 species
GAUGAACGCUGGCGGCGUGCCUAAUACAUGCAAGUCGAGCGAAUGGAUUAAGAGCUUGCUCUUAUGAAGUUAGCGGCGGACGGGUGAGUAACACGUGGGUAACCUGCCCAUAAGACUGGGAUAACUCCGGGAAACCGGGGCUAAUACCGGAUAACAUUUUGAACCGCAUGGUUCGAAAUUGAAAGGCGGCUCCGGCUGUCACUUAUGGAUGGACCCGCGUCGCAUUAGCUAGUUGGUGAGGUAACGGCUCACCAAGGCAACGAUGCGUAGCCGACCUGAGAGGGUGAUCGGCCACACUGGGACUGAGACACGGCCCAGACUCCGACGGGAGGCAGCAGUAGGGAAUCUUCCGCAAUGGACGAAAGUCUGACGGAGCAACGCCGCGUGAGUGAUGAAGGCUUUCGGGUCGUAAAACUCUGUUGUUAGGGAAGAACAAGUGCUAGUUGAAUAAGCUGGCACCUUGACGGUACCUAACCAGAAAGCCACGGCUAACUACGUGCCAACCGCCGCAGUAA